AAAACCGUUGGAAACGACGGCUAAUACCGAAUGCGGCGCCGGGAGGCAUCUUCCGAGCGCUAAAGGGGCCGCAAGGCUCCCCUCUUCGAGGGGCUCGCGCACCAUCAGCUUGUUGGCGGGGUCACGGCCCACCAAGGCUCACGGUUAGCUGGUCUGAGAGGAUGGCCAGCCGCACUGGGACUGAGAUACUGCCCAGACUCCUACGGGAGGCUGCAGUCGAGGAUCAUUCGCAAUGGGGGAAACCCUGACGAUGCGACGCUGCGUGGAGGAUGAAGGCCUUCGGGUCGUAAACUCCUGUCAUGAAGGGAAAAGGCGGACGGGGGCCCAACACCGUCCCUUAGUUGAUGGUACCUCAAGAGGAACGGGCGGCUAACUCUGUGCCAGCCGCAGC
rnacentral:rRNA from 1 species